rnacentral:misc_RNA from 1 species
UCAGUUCCAUCUUCCUUCUGCAACUUUUCAUUCAGGUUCAGUGGCGUAGGUGCUGUCUUGCAGUGAAGCAUGUUAAACUUUUUUAGAAGAUCACUUGCAUACUUUCUCUGCGAUAUGAAGAUUCCAUCUCCCUCCUGGCUGACUUCAAUUCCCAAAAGGUAAUGCAGUGAUCCUAGAUCUGACAUUUCAAACUCAUUCUUCAUGCUCGACUGAAACUCAUGAAUAAGUGAUGAACAAGACCCCAUAUAAACAAUAUCAUCCACGUAUAAACAGACAAACAAAAGCCCAUUACCUUUCUUCUUCACAUAGAGUGUUGCUUCAUUCUGACUUCUUGUGAAUCCAUUCUCAAGAAAAUAAGAAUCAAUCCUGCUGAACCAGGCUCGGGGAGCCUACUUCAAGCCAUACAAAGCUUUCUUAAGCUUAUAAACCAUCUUCUCCUUCCCUUGCAGAACAAAGCGUUCUGGUUGCUGCACAACCACUUCCUCUUCUAGGUCUCCAUUUAAAAAAGCGGAUUUAACAUCAAAUUGAUAAACCGGCCAACUUAAAUAAG